rnacentral:rRNA from 1 species
ACAAUGGAGAGUUUGAUCCUGGCUCAGGAUGAACGCUAGCUACAGGCUUAACACAUGCAAGUCGAGGGGAAACGAUAUUGGAAGCUUGCUUCCGAUAGGCGUCGACCGGCGCACGGGUGAGUAACGCGUAUCCAACCUGCCCACCACUUGGGGAUAACCUUGCGAAAGUAAGACUAAUACCCAAUGACGUCUCUAGAAGACAUCUGAAAGAGAUUAAAGAUUUAUCGGUGAUGGAUGGGGAUGCGUCUGAUUAGCUUGUUGGCGGGGUAACGGCCCACCAAGGCGACGAUCAGUAGGGGUUCUGAGAGGAAGGUCCCCCACAUUGGAACUGAGACACGGUCCAAACUCCUACGGGAGGCAGCAGUGAGGAAUAUUGGUCAAUGGACGAGAGUCUGAACCAGCCAAGUAGCGUGCAGGAUGACGGCCCUAUGGGUUGUAAACUGCUUUUAUAAGGGAAUAAAGUGAGUCUCGUGAGACUUUUUGCAUGUACCUUAUGAAUAAGGACCGGCUAAUUCCGUGCCAGCAGCCGCGGUAAUACGGAAGGUCCGGGCGUUAUCCGGAUUUAUUGGGUUUAAAGGGAGCGUAGGCCGGAGAUUA